rnacentral:rRNA from 1 species
GACGAACGCUGGCGGCGUGCUUAACACAUGCAAGUCGAACGGAAAGACCCUGCUUUUGUGGGGUGCUCGAGUGGCGAACGGGUGAGUAACACGUGAGUAACCUGCCCUUGACUUUGGGAUAACUCCAGGAAACUGGGGCUAUUACCGGAUAGGAGCUCUUGCUGCAUGGUGGGGGAUGGAAAGUUUCGGCGGUUGGGGAUGGAGUCGCGGCUUACGAGCUUGUUGGUGGAGUAGUGGCUUACCAAGGUUUUGACGGGUAGCCGGCCUAAGUGGUUGGCCGGGCACAAGGAGACGAAGAUACGGCCCAGAGUCCUACGGGAGGCAGCAGUGGAGAGUCUGGAGCAAUAGCCGGAAGCGUGCUACAACAACCCCCCGGGCGAGAUGCCGUGCUACGGGUAGUCAACCGAUUUCGACGGAGACGAACAGUGAGUGACGGUAAUGGGUAAAAAAGCACCGGCUAACUACGUG